GGCUGCCUGGCGAAAUGGCAUCGCGUCUGACUACGAUCGAUGUUGCCGUUUAUACGGUUGUAAUCAGGAGAUUGCAGGUUCGACCCCUGCGGUGGUCA